rnacentral:pre_miRNA from 1 species
AAAACAACAUUCGGACCGUCGGUCUACCGAACAAUAUCACCAGCUCGGUGGAAGAUGUCCCCUUUGUCGUAUACC